rnacentral:rRNA from 1 species
UACGGAGGGUGCAAGCGUUAUCCGGAUUCACUGGGUUUAAAGGGAGCGUAGGUGGGCUUGUAAGUCAGUGGUGAAAUCUCUGGGCUUAACCCGGAAACUGCCAUUGAUACUAUAGGUCUUGAAUUCUCUGGAGGUAAGCGGAAUAUGUCAUGUAGCGGUGAAAUGCUUAGAUAUGACAUAGAACACCCAUUGCGAAGGCAGCUUACUACGGAGACAUUGACACUGAGGCUCGAAAGCGUGGGGAUCAAAC